rnacentral:lncRNA from 1 species
GGAAAUGAGCGGGAACUUCUCCAGUUUAAUGUUGAGCUUUGUUAACAGUGAUGCCAAUGUAGCAGGACAUCUUUGCGCAAAGCAGGCAGGCGACUCUAGGCGUUGUUGUCUUUUGCUUAAUUUUAUUCCACCUUUCCUUGUUAAGACUCUUCAGCAGGAUUGUAAUUCACUUCAGCAAUCAAUAAAGCUCAUUGAUUCACAAAAAUAUGUAAUAAAAAAGGCGGCACUCUUCUGGCAUUAUUUCUCCUAAUUUCUUAGCACCUGCAGUUAUCUAAAGCGGCACCUCCUUGAUGUUGUGAAGAAUUAUUAUGAGAUGGGUGCUCUUGCGACGGAAGAUCCAAGCGUUUCUCUCUGCAAAAAAACUAUUUUUAAACACGGUAUAGAGGGCAGACACUCAUACAUACACACAUACACUCAUCAUUAUGAAUGCACGCAUGCAUAUCCUGCCCCUCAAGAGUCAAGAUUAUCCUGCAUGAAAAGAAGGUCAAGAUUAUCCUUAUAAAACCGAUUCCGUCUUUAAACAAAGGAUUAGCCACAACACAUUGCCCCACCAAUCAUCCUAAUGGCGACGCCGCACGUCCUUCCGCUGGUUCGGUCGUCAGCCAAUCUCCUCCAGACCCGGCAAAACGACAGCACCAGGUCAAAUCAAGGCCUCCACGCAUCCGGAUCAAGCAGCAAUUAUAUAUGAUCCCGAUCCAUCGUCUAAUCAUCCGUACGUCGCCACGUGCCCACCCUCCAAAAUUAAGGCGCG